AGUGGCGGACGGGUGAGUAACACGUUGGCACCUACCCCGAAGUAGGGAAUAGCUCGGAGAAAUCCGGAUUAAUACCCUAUAGUCUCGCAAGAGUAAAGCUCCGGCGCUUCGGGAAGGGCCUGCGCAUGAUUAGCUAAUUGGUGAGGUAAAGGCUCACCAAGGCGACGAUCAUUAGCUGGUCUGAGAGGAUGAUCAGCCACACUGGGACUGAGACACGGCCCCGACUCCUACGGGAGGCAGCAGUAGGGAAUCUCUCCACAAUGGGGCGUAAGCCUGAUGGAGCAACGCCCCGUGCGGGAUGAAAGGUUUUCGGGGCGUAAACUGUUUUUUAUAUGGGAAAAAUAUGACGGUACCAUAUGAAUAAACCUUUGGCUAACUCCGUGCCAGCAGCCCCGGGUAAUACCGAGAAAGCAAGCGUUACCCGGGAAUUACUGGGCGUAAAGCGUUGCGUAAGGCGGUUUAUCAAGUGAAGUGCGAAAUCCUGUGGCUCAACCACAGGCUUGUAUUUCAAACUGACUAACUAGAGGACAGU
rnacentral:rRNA from 1 species